UGGGGAAUCUUGGACAAUGGGGGCAACCCUGAUCCAGCCAUGCCGCGUGAGUGAUGAAGGCCUUAGGGUCGUAAAGCUCUUUCGCCUGUGAAGAUAAUGACGGUAGCAGGUAAAGAAACCCCGGCUAACUUCGUGCCAGCAGCCGCGGUAAUACGGAGGGGGUUAGCGUUGUUCGGAAUUACUGGGCGUAAAGCGCACGUAGGCGGACCAGAAAGUUGGGGGUGAAAUCCCGGGGGCUCAACCCCGGAACUGCCUCCAAAACUAUUGGUCUAGAGUUCGAGAGAGGUGAGUGGAAUUCCAAGUGUAGAGGUGAAAUUCGUAGAUAUUUGGAGGAACACCAGUGGCGAAGGCGGCUCACUGGCUCGAUACUGACGCUGAGGUGCGAAAGUGUGGGGAGCAAACAGGAUUAGAUACCCUGGUAGUCCACACCGUAAAACGAUGAAUGCCAGUCGUCGGGUAGCAUGCUAUUCGGUGACACACCUAACGGAUU
rnacentral:rRNA from 1 species